rnacentral:rRNA from 1 species
GACGAACCGUGCAAACGUUAUUCGGAAUCACUGGGCAUAAAGGGUGCGUAGGCGGCGCGGUAAGUCGGGUGUGAAAUCUCGGGGCUUAACUCCGAAACUGCAUUCGAUACUGCCGUGCUUGAGGACUGGAGAGGAGACUGGAAUUUACGGUGUAGCGGUGAAAUGCGUAGAGAUCAGGAAGAACACCAGUGGCGAAGGCGCUCUGCUAGGCCGUAACUGACACUGAGGGACGAAAGCUAGGGGAGCGAAUGGG